rnacentral:rRNA from 1 species
UAGAAUACCCGCAUCUGUAAAUUUAAUAUAAAAUUUUGCUACUGCGAAUGUUUCAUUUUAUCAAUUAUAGAUUAUUUUUUACAAAUGAACUACUUGGAUAUCCGUAUUAAUUCUAGGCUUAAUACAUGAGAAAGUCCUCUGGCAAGGUGUGUUUUUAAAAAUGAAAACCAUAUGCUUCGGCAUGAUAGUGAGUAAUAAUAACCUAUCUUAUCGCAUGCUUAAUGGAGUGAUGAGUCUUUCACGUUUCUGCCCUCUCUGCUUUCGAUGGGGGUUUAUGGUUCUUCUAUGGUAGUACGGUAAAAAUAAAAAAUUU